rnacentral:rRNA from 1 species
UACGUAGGGGGCAAGCGUUGUCCGGAAUCAUUGGGCGUAAAGAGCGUGUAGGCGGCCCGGUAAGUCCGCCGUGAAAGUCCAGGGCUCAACCCUGGAAUGCCGGUGGAAACUGCCGGGCUGGAGUCCGGAAGAGGCGAGUGGAAUUCCUGGUGUAGCGGUGAAAUGCGUAGAUAUCUGGAGGAACACCGGUGGCGAAGGCGGCGUCCUGGACCAAUACUGACGCUGAGGAGCGAAAGCGUGGGGAGCGAACAGG